GGCUCGUUGGUCUAAGGGUAUGAUUCUCGCUUAGGGUGCGAGAGGUCCCUGGUUCAAAUCUUGGACGAGCCC
rfam:Danio rerio chromosome 4, GRCz11 reference primary assembly.